UACGGGGGGGGCAAGCGUUGUUCGGAAUUACUGGGCGUAAAGGGCGCGUAGGCGGUUUGCUAAGUUGGAUGUGAAAACUCUGGGCUUAACCCAGAGCCUGCAUCCAAAACUGGCAAACUUGAGUACUGGAGGGGAAAGCGGAAUUCCUGGUGUAGCGGUGAAAUGCGUAGAUAUCGGGAGGAACACCGGUGGCGAAGGCGGUUCUCUGGGCCUUACCUGACGCUGAGGAGCGAAAGCGUGGGGAGCGAACAGG
rnacentral:rRNA from 1 species